rnacentral:rRNA from 1 species
GAAUAUUGGACAAUGGGCGCAAGCCUGAUCCAGCCAUGCCGCGUGGAUGAUGAAGGCCCUAGGGUUGUAAAGUCCUUUCGGCGGGGAAGAUAAUGACUGUACCCGCAGAAGAAGCCCCGGCUAACUUCGUGCCAGCCGCCGCGGUAAUACGAAGGGGGCUAGCGUUGCUCGGAAUCACUGGGCGUAAAGCGCACGUAGGCGGCUUUCUCAGUCGGUGGUGAAAUCCUGGAGCUCAACUCCAGAACUGCCUCCGAUACUGGAAGGCUCGAGUCCGGGAGAGGUGAGUGGAACUGCGAGUGUAGAGGUGAAAUUCGUAGAUAUUCGCAAGAACACCAGUGGCGAAGGCGGCUGACUGGCCCGGUACUGACGCUGAGGUGCGAAAGCGUGGGGAGCAAACAGG